rnacentral:rRNA from 1 species
AGUGAACGCUGGCGGUAGGCCUAACACAUGCAAGUCGAACGGCAGCACAGUAAGAGCUUGCUCUUACGGGUGGCGAGUGGCGGACGGGUGAGGAAUACAUCGGAAUCUACUUUUUCGUGGGGGAUAACGUAGGGAAACUUACGCUAAUACCGCAUACGACCUACGGGUGAAAGCAGGGGAUCUUCGGACCUUGCGCGAUUGAAUGAGCCGAUGUCGGAUUAGCUAGUUGGCGGGGUAAAGGCCCACCAAGGGGACGAUCCGUAGCUGGUCUGAGAGGAGGAGGUGACACACUGGAACUGAGAGACGGUCCAGAUGCCUAGGGGAGGCAGCAUUGGGGUAUAUUGGACAAUGGGCGCAAGACUAUUCCAGCCAUACCGCGUGGCUGAAGAAGGCCUUCGGGUUGUAAGGCCCUUUUGUUGGGAAUGAAAAGCGGUAGGGCAAUAGCCGGCUGUUGUGACGGUACCCGAAGAAUAAGCGCCGGCUAACUUCGUG